rnacentral:misc_RNA from 1 species
AAAAUCACUCCAAGGGGGAUCUGCCAUUGUAGUAAAUAAACUAUAAACCAAAAUGCCAUGCUGUAGGAAUUAAUUACAGGCAAGGAAAUUUGGUGAAAAUUCUGAAGGAAUUCUGGGCACCAAAUACUCUGUAAAAGCCAUUCUUAUUGGACUAACAUGAUGAAUUAAGCCUUAGAAUUUUCGUUUUGGAAUGAAUUGGGUAAUUUCUUAAUGGUUUCCUUUGAAUAAAUAUUUUGUAAGAAAAAAAUUCAAUGAAAUUCUCACAAAUUACGCUUAUUUAUAUUUCUUUUAAAAUGAAAAAUUU